CCCCAGGGAAACUGGGGGCUAAUCCCUGAUAGGCGAGGAAUUCUGGAAUGAGUCUUCACCCAAAGGGCGCUUAGAUCAUGCUUCUAGGCGUUGCCCAAGGAUGGGGCCGCGACCGAUCAGGUUGUUGGUGAGGUAAUGGCUCACCAAGCCUACUACCGGUGCGGGCCGUGAGAGCGGGAGCCCGGAGAUGGGCACUGAGACAAGGGCCCAGGCCCUACGGGGCGCAGCAGUCGCGAAAACUUUGCAAUACACGAAAGUGUGACAGGGUCAUCCCGAGUGCCGUCCGCUGAGGAUGGCUUUUACCCAGUCUAGAACGCUGGGGGAAUAAGGAGAGGGCAAGUCUGGUGUCAGCCGCCGCGGUAAUACCAGCUCUCCGAGUGGUGUGGAUGUUUAUUGGGCCUAAAGCAUCCGUAGCUGGCUGGGCAAGUCCCCUGUUAAACCCACCGAUUUAAUCGUUGGUCUGCGGGGGAUACUGCUCGGCUAGGGGACGAGAGAGGCCGACGGUAUUUCCGGGGUAGGGGUGAAAUCCUAUAAUUCCCGGGAAGACCACCAGUGGCGAAGGCUGUCGGCUAGAACGCGCCCGACGGUGAGGGAUGAAAGCUGGGGGAGCGAACC
rnacentral:rRNA from 1 species